AACACCAAAAGCGAAGGCAGGCUUACUGGAACUGUAUUGACGCUGCAGUAAACGAAAGCGUGGGUAGCGAAAAGGAUUAGAUACCCUUGUAAUCCACGCCCUAAACGAUGAUGAUUAAGUGUUGGAGUUUAUUCCAGUGCUGUAGCUAACGCGUUAAAUCAUCCACCUGAGAAGUACGGUCGCAAGAUUAAAACUCAAAGGAAUAGACGGGGACCCACACAAGCAGUGGAUCACGUGGUUUAAUUCGACAAUAAACGAGGAAUCUUACCCAGACUUGACAUCCUAGGAAUCUUUCAGAAAUGAGAGAGUGCCCGCAAGGGAACCUAGUGACAGGUGCUGCAUGGUUGUCGUCAGCUCGUGCCUUGAGGUGUUCGGUUAAUGUCCGUUAACGAGCGCAACCCAUGUUGUUAGUUAUGUUUUCUAACAAGACUGCCUUGGUUAACAAGGAGGAAGGUGUGGAUGACGUCAAAUCAGCAUGGCUUUUACGUCUGGGGCUACACACAUGAUACAAUGGUAUGUACAAAGAGUAGCGAUACGGUAACGUUGAGCCAAUCUAUAAAGCAUAUCCUCAGUCCGGAUUGAGGUCUGAAACUCGACCUCAU
rnacentral:rRNA from 1 species